UCUGGUUGAUCCUGCCAGUAGUCAUAUGCUUGUCUCAAAGAUUAAGCCAUGCAUGUCUAAGUAUAAGCAAUUUAUACAGUGAAACUGCGAAUGGCUCAUUAAAUCAGUUAUCGUUUAUUUGAUAGUUCCUUUACUACAUGGUAUAACUGUGGUAAUUCUAGAGCUAAUACAUGCUUAAAAUCUCGACCCUUUGGAAGAGAUGUAUUUAUUAGAUAAAAAAUCAAUGUCUUCGGACUCUUUGAUGAUUCAUAAUAACUUUUCGAAUCGCAUGGCCUUGUGCUGGCGAUGGUUCAUUCAAAUCUCUGCCCUAUCAACUUUCGAUGGUAGGAUAGUGGCCUACCAUGGUUUCAACGGGUAACGGGGAAUAAGGGUUCGAUUCCGGAGAGGGAGCCUGAGAAACGGCUACCACAUCCAAGGAAGGCAGCAGGCGCGCAAAUUACCCAAUCCUAAUUCAGGGAGGUAGUGACAAUAAAUAACGAUACAGGGCCCAUUCGGGUCUUGUAAUUGGAAUGAGUACAAUGUAAAUACCUUAACGAGGAACAAUUGGAGGGCAAGUCUGGUA
rnacentral:rRNA from 1 species